ACACCCAGAUACCUUUAUAACUGACAAAGCUUCUCCCAGGCAGGCAGUGGCUGAUCAGGGAGAGCCAGGGAGCACCAGCAUACUGAAGAGCCUCCCCCAUGAAGCCAUGCUGUGGACCUGUCCCCUCUUCUACCUCACCCUCUUCUGUGCAGGGGUCUCAUUGGAUAUCGUUUUGAAACCAGACACCGAAACCCUGACUGUUCUAGUUGGGGAGUCUGCCACCUUCCGAUGCAGCAUAACAGGAGGGGACUGGAAAAAUUAUCAAGUGAGCUGGUAUAAGAAGAAUGAAAAUAACUCCCUGACUUUAGUAUACAGACUAAGCAACAGUUCUAAUGCCAAUAUAAGCAGUAAUUUCAAAGGAAAUAUCGAUGCUUUAAAGGGCCAAUGUAUACUUGACAUUCAAAGAGCAACAAUAAAAGACACUGGGACCUACUACUGUGCAUCCGAUAUCCACGGUGCUACAGCCCUGCAAGCUGGUCUCCUCAGAACCCUUGCGUCAAACCAAGGGGGCAGGUCCAAUGAGAAGACCACCUGUAGCUAAAAUGUGCACCACACUGAGGUGAGACCACCUGAUAAUCUCAACAGUAACAUCUGAUAAGAGAGACAAGAGCUAAGUUGGGGCAAGGGCCUUAUCUUUGUGGUUGGUUGAGAGGGGGCUUAGUUAUCAGUCGAAGAGGGCAGAAAAUUUCAUUAGGGUUUAUGCAAAGCGACCAAGGGGGCCCUGCACCUGACUCUCAGGGACUUCUGAGAAAAGGUUGAAAAAAAAAAAACAAUCUUCAAUGCUGAGAAGGUUUUCUUAUUGUGGGGGCAGGCUGGGAUGAACAGAAUUUCUACUAUCAUGAGUGUUGUAGCUCAUUCCAGAGU